rnacentral:rRNA from 1 species
GUCGAACGGAAAGGCCCUUCGGGGUACUCGAGUGGCGAACGGGUGAGUAACACGUGGGUGAUCUGCCCUGCACUUUGGGAUAAGCCUGGGAAACUGGGUCUAAUACCGAAUAUGACCAUGCACUUCCUGGUGUGUGGUGGAAAGCUUUUGCGGUGUGGGAUGGGCCCGCGGCCUAUCAGCUUGUUGGUGGGGUAAUGGCCUACCAAGGCGACGACGGGUAGCCGGCCUGAGAGGGUGACCGGCCACACUGGGACUGAGAUACGGCCCAGACUCCUACGGGAGGCAGCAGUGGGGAAUAUUGCACAAUGGGCGCAAGCCUGAUGCAGCGACGCCGCGUGAGGGAUGACGGCCUUCGGGUUGUAAACCUCUUUCAAUAGGGACGAAGCGCAAGUGACGGUACCUAUAGAAGAAGGACCGGCCAACUACGUGCCAGCAGCCGCGGUAAUACGUAGGGUCCGAGCGUUGUCCGGAAUUACUGGGCGUAAAGAGCUCGUAGGUGGUUUGUCGCGUUGUUCGUGAAAACUCACAGCUUAACUGUGGGCGUGCGGGCGAUACGGGCAGACUAGAGUACUGCAGGGGAGACUGGAAUUCCUGGUGUAGCGGUGGAAUGCGCAGAUAUCAGGAGGAACACCGGUGGCGAAGGCGGGUCUCUGGGCAGUAACUGACGCUGAGGAGCGAAAGCGUGGGGAGCGAACAGGAUUAGAUACCCUGGUAGUCCACGCCGUAAACGGUGGGUACUAGGUGUGGGUUUCCUUCCUUGGGAUCCGUGCCGUAGCUAACGCAUUAAGUACCCCGCCUGGGGAGUACGGCCGCAAGGCUAAAACUCAAAGAAAUUGACGGGGGCCCGCACAAGCGGCGGAGCAUGUGGAUUAAUUCGAUGCAACGCGAAGAACCUUACCUGGGUUUGACAUGCACAGGACGCCGGCAGAGAUGUCGGUUCCCUUGUGGCCUGUGUGCAGGUGGUGCAUGGCUGUCGUCAGCUCGUGUCGUGAGAUGUUGGGGUUAAGUCCCGCAACGAGCGCAACCCUUGUCUCAUGUUGCCAGCACGUAAUGGUGGGGACUCGUGAGAGACUGCCGGG